GACAGAGGGUGCAAACGUUGUUCGGAAUUACUGGGCGUAAAGCGUGUGUAGGCGGUCCGCUAAGUCGGGUGUGAAAGCCCUGGGCUCAACCCAGGAAGUGCACUCGAAACUGGCGGGCUAGAGUACUGGAGAGGUUGGUGGAAUUCUCGGUGUAGAGGUGUAAUUCGUAGAUAUCGAGAGGAACACCGGUGGCGAAGGCGGCCAACUGGACAGAUACUGACGCUGAGACACGAAAGCGUGGGGAGCAAACAGG
rnacentral:rRNA from 1 species